CCUACGGGAGGCUGCAGUAGGGAAUCUUGCACAAUGGGCGAAAGCCUGAUGGAGCAACGCCGCGUGGGUGAAGAAGGUCUUCGGAUCGUAAAACUCUGUUGGUAGAGAAGAAAGUGCGUGAGAGUAACUGUUCACGUUUCGACGGUAUCUAACCAGAAGGCCACGGCUAACUACGUGCCAGCAGCCGCGGUAAUACGUAGGUGGCAAGCGUUAUCCGGAUUUAUUGGGCGUAAAGGGAACGCAGGCGGUCUUUUAAGUCUGAUGUGAAAGCUUUCGGCUUAACCGGGGUAGUGCAUUGGAAACUGGGAGACUUGAGUGCAGGAGAGGAGAGUGGAACUCCAUGUGUAGCGGUGAAAUGCGGAGAUAUUUGGAAGAACACCAGUGGCGAAGGCGGCUCUCUGGUCUGUAACUGACGCUGAGGUUCGAAAGCGUGGGUAGCAAACAGGAUUAGAUACCCCAGUAGUC
rnacentral:rRNA from 1 species